AGGAUGGUUACAAUACCCCAGGAGUUUGUGUGAAAUAGCUCCCUUAAGAUGUUAAUAAUUCUGAUAUUCUUAGGACUGGACUCUGGACUUGGUAAUCUCAUCUUUCAACAUCCAAGCAGAGUUCUCUGCAAGAAUGGAACUUCAGUGACCAUCAAGUGCAGCUUAGAAGGCAUACAGGGUACAACUAUCAUUUGGUAUCGUCAGCUUCUGAGUCAAAGUCUCACAGUAAUAGCGACUUCAAAUAUGGGCUCCAAUCCUGCAUAUGAGCAAGGUUAUAAAAGAGAGAAGUUUUCCAUCAGCCAUCCAAACCUCACAUUUUCAGAUCUGACAGUGAAGCGUGUCCUUCCUGAAGACAGCAGCCUCUACUUCUGCAGUGCCAGUGACACAGAGCGGUGCACUGAGCAGACACCCAGACAAGAACCUUUGUAA